GGGAUCCUGAUGCCAUGUGCUACCCGCGAACCAGUGCAAAGACGAAUGUGAAAGACUUGGUGGUUCUUACAAGAGAAGAGAGAAUCUGUUUUAAAAGAAAAGGUUUUCCUGACCUGUGUUCUUACAAGAGAAGACAGGAGAAACUUUUUUUGAACAAAAGGAUUUUAUGGGUUGUCUGACCUGGGGGUUCACUUUCGUGAGAGAGAGGAUGAUGGAAGGAGUGGUUGAGGGGUAUUUUUGGCACAGGAUCUCGUUCUGGUCAGCAAGUUUUCUUCAGCGUCAAGACAUGCAAUGACAGGUAACGAGGCCCAAUUGUAAUACAGGCCCAACAGCGUCAAAGAAAGAAAGAUUAAUUUGUACAGGCCCAAAGGGAGCCGAAAUUUUUUGUACAGGGCCAUAUCGGGCUGGAUGUGGAAGUCA